UACGUAGGGUGCAAGCGUUAAUCGGAAUUACUGGGCGUAAAGCGUGCGCAGGCGGUGAUGUAAGACAGAUGUGAAAUCCCCGGGCUCAACCUGGGACCUGCAUUUGUGACUGCAUCGCUAGAGUACGGUAGAGGGGGAUGGAAUUCCGCGUGUAGCAGUGAAAUGCGUAGAUAUGCGGAGGAACACCGAUGGCGAAGGCGGCAUCCUGGACCGGCAUUGACGCUGAGGCGCGAAAGCGUGGGGAGCAAACAGG
rnacentral:rRNA from 1 species